GCGGCGUAUACAGAUAAUAACCUUGCCAAGGUUGGGGUCGUGGGUUCGAAUCCCAUCGCCCGCUCCA
rnacentral:tRNA from 1 species